AUUGAACGCUGGCGGAAUGCUUUACACAUGCAAGUCGAACGGGCUGUUCCUUCGGGGGCAGUCAGUGGCGCACGGGUGCGUAACACGUAGGUAAUCAACCCUCUGGUUGGGGAUAACACUUCGAAAGGAGUGCUAAUACCCGGUAUGGCGCAGCGGUCUUCGGAUCGCGGCGAGAAAGACCCGCAAGGGUUGCCAGAGGACGAGCCUGCGGCCCAUCAGCUAGUUGGCGAGGUAACGGCUCACCAAGGCGAAGACGGGUAGCUGGUCUGAGAGGAUGAUCAGCCACACUGGAACUGAGACACGGUCCAGACUCCUACGGGAGGCAGCAGUGGGGAAUAUUGCGCAAUGGGCGAAAGCCUGACGCAGCCACGCCGCGUGAGCGAUGAAGGCCUCGGUCGGUAAG
rnacentral:rRNA from 1 species